GGGGGUGAUUUGGCUUCGACGCCGAUUACAAAACCUCUCGGUGCAUGUCGUGUUUGUAGUGAAACACGUUAAUCCAUCACUACACAGUUAUAGUUGCAAACGACGAUAACUACGCUCUAGCAGCUUAAGGGCCGCUAGCAUUGCUCCUACAGGUGUCUGUAACUUUAGGAUUUUGCAAUGUCAUUUGAGACAGAAUCGCCUGGAAGCUUCGCCUUAAGACGAAGGGUUAAAACUUAAAAAGGCUCGCCCUAAACACCCUGACUCUCGGGUCGUGCUGGGUUAACUCAAUAGAGAAGUCUAAGCAUGUAGAGCUGGAGGCGGAGGAUUGGCGGACGCGGGUUCGAUCCCCGCCACCUCCACCA
rnacentral:tmRNA from 1 species